rnacentral:rRNA from 1 species
AUUGAACGCUGGCGGCAUGCUUUACACAUGCAAGUCGAACGGUAACAGGCCGCAAGGUGCUGACGAGUGGCGAACGGGUGAGUAAUGCAUCGGAACGUGCCCAGUCGUGGGGGAUAACGCAGCGAAAGCUGCGCUAAUACCGCAUACGAUCUAUGGAUGAAAGCGGGGGACCGUAAGGCCUCGCGCGAUUGGAGCGGCCGGUGUCAGAUUGGGUAGUUGGUGGGGUAAAGGCUCACCAAGCCAACGAGCUGUAGCUGGUCUGAGAGGACGACCAGCCAAACUGGGACUGAGAGACGGUCCAGACUCCUACGGGAGGCAGCAGUGGGGAAUCUUCGACAAUGGGCGCAAGCCUGAUCCAGCAAUGCCGCGUGCGGGAAGAAGGCCUUCGGGUUGUAAAGCGCUUUUGUCAGGGAGCAAAGACUGAUGGCUAAUAUCCAUCGGAGUUGAGAGUACCUGAAGAAUAAGGACCGGCUAACUACGUGCCAGCAGCCGCAGUAACAC